UUUGCUCCACCCCUGAGCCAUGAGGUCGCUUUCUAUGCUUCAAAAUGACCGCAAUGACCGUCUGGUCAUUUCCUGUUGGACAAAAGGUGUAACCGUAUCAAUAUGUUGUAAUCUUUCUCCGGGAAGAUCUUGUCUCUGACUGUCCACUUCAAGACAGUGCUUUCAUCUUUUCUCAGAACUGGAAUUCUGGAGUUUGAAAAUUCGCGCCAGAUGUGUGAGUCAUAUUUUUCGGAGUCAAGUUCGUCGAUGUGUUUAGUAUUUUUGUGAGGCUUCAGGUCCUUUAUAGAACCUUAGAAGAAUUUUGGUGAUAUCUGAGUUUCUUCUCCAGUUUUGUUUCAGAUCCAAAAGAAAAGGCAUCUACCAAAUUUUUCAGAAGUUGAAACGUGUGUUAGGAAACUUUCAAGGUCUGCUUCAUAUGGAAAAGAGUUCGGAUAUGUGAUUUACAGUUUUUCUAUAUGUGACAAGAGAUCAACAAAAUGUUUAUUUUAAUAAUAGUUAUAAUGAAAAAAA